GACGAACGCUGGCGGCGUGCUUAACACAUGCAAGUCGAACGAAGAGCGAUGGAAGCUUGCUUCUAUCAAUCUUAGUGGCGAACGGGUGAGUAACGCGUAAUCAACCUGCCCUUCAGAGGGGGACAACAGUUGGAAACGACUGCUAAUACCGCAUACGAUCCAAUCUCGGCAUCGGGACUGGAUGAAAGGUGGCCUCUAUUUAUAAGCUCUCACUGAAGGAGGGGAUUGCGUCUGAUUAGCUAGUUGGAGGGGUAACGGCCCACCAAGGCGAUGAUCAGUAGGCGGUCUGAGAGGAUGAACGGCCACAUUGGGACUGAGGCACGGCCCAGACUGCUACGGGAGGCAGCAGUGGGGGAUCUUCCGAAAUGGGCGAAAGUCGGACGGAGCAACGCCGCGUGAGUGAUGACGGCCUUCGGGUUGUAAAGCUCGGUUAAUCGGGACGAAUGGUUCUUGUGCGAAUAGUGCGAGGAUUUGACGGUACCGGAAUAGAAAGCCACGGCUAACUACGUG
rnacentral:rRNA from 1 species